UACAGAGGUGGCAAGCGUUGUUCGGAAUUACUGGGCGUAAAGGGCGCGUAGGCGGCCAUCUAAGUCAGACGUGAAAUCCCCCGGCUUAACCUGGGAACUGCGUCUGAUACUGGACGGCUUGAGUAUGGGAGAGGGAUGUAGAAUUCCAGGUGUAGCGGUGAAAUGCGUAGAGAUCGGAAAGAACACCAACGGCGAAAGCACUCUGCUGGGCCGACACUGACACUGAGAGACGAAAGCUAGGGGAGCGAAUGGG
rnacentral:rRNA from 1 species